rnacentral:rRNA from 1 species
UGGGGAAUAUUGUACAAUGGGCGAAAGCCUGAUCCAGCCAUGCCGCGUGUGUGAAGAAGGUCUUCGGAUUGUAAAGCACUUUAAGUUGGGAGGAAGGGCAGUAAGCGAAUACCUUGCUGUUUUGACGUUACCGACAGAAUAAGCACCGGCUAACUCUGUGCCAGCAGCCGCGGUAAUACAGAGGGUGCAAGCGUUAAUCGGAAUUACUGGGCGUAAAGCGCGCGUAGGUGGUUCGUUAAGUUGAAUGUGAAAGCCCCGGGCUCAACCUGGGAACUGCAUCCAAAACUGGCGAGCUAGAGUAGGGCAGAGGGUGGUGGAAUUUCCUGUGUAGCGGUGAAAUGCGUAGAUAUAGGAAGGAACACCAGUGGCGAAGGCGACCACCUGGGCUCAUACUGACACUGAGGUGCGAAAGCGUGGGGAGCAAACAGG